UGUCGACAUUAUAGUUGCGCAGGCACUUUGGAGACUCUAGAGAACCUCGGGCCAAUCGCACGUCCCUGUGAUGGCGACGACGCAUUCGGAUGUCUGCCCUAUCAAAUUUCGAUGGACUUUCUGCGCCUACCAUGGUGACCACGGGUAAUGGGGAAUCAGGGUUCGAUUCCGUAGAGGGAUCCUAAGAAACGGCUACCACAUCCAAGGAAGUCUGCAGGCGUGCAAAUUACCCACUUCCUACGCGGGGAGGUAGUGACGACA